AGUCGAGGGGUAUAGUAGCAAUACUAGAGACCGGCGCACGGGUGCGUAACGCGUAUGCAAUCUACCUUUUGCAGAGGGAUAGCCCAGAGAAAUUUGGAUUAAUACCUCAUAGUAUAACGACUCGGCAUCGAGAUGUUAUUAAAGUCACAACGGCAAAAGAUGAGCAUGCGUCCCAUUAGUUAGUUGGUAAGGUAACGGCUUACCAAGACUACGAUGGGUAGGGGUCCUGAGAGGGAGAUCCCCCGCACUGGUACUGAGACACGGACCAGACUCCUACGGGAGGCAGCAGUGAGGAAUAUUGGACAAUGGGCGCAAGCCUGAUCCAGCCAUGCCGCGUGCAGGAUGACGGUCCUAUGGAUUGUAAACUGCUUUUGCACAGGAAGAAACAACGCUACGUGUAGCGUCUUGACGGUACUGUGAGAAUAAGGAUCGGCUAACUCCGUGCCAGCAGCCGCGGUAAUACGGAGGAUCCAAGCGUUAUCCGGAAUCAUUGGGUUUAAAGGGUCCGUAGGCGGUCUUAUAAGUCAGUGGUGAAAUCUCCCCGCUCAACGGGGAAACGGCCAUUGAUACUGUAGGACUUGAAUUAUUAGGAAGUAACUAGAAUAUGUAGUGUAGCGGUGAAAUGCUUAGAGAUUACAUGGAAUACCAAUUGCGAAGGCAGGUUACUACUAAUGGAUUGACGCUGAUGGACGAAAGCGUGGGUAGCGAACAGGAUUAGAUACCCUGGUAGUCCACGCCGUAAACGAUGGAUACUAGCUGUUGGGCGCAAGUUCAGUGGCUAAGCGAAAGUGAUAAGUAUCCCACCUGGGGA
rnacentral:rRNA from 1 species